UGAGGAUCCCCAUGCUAGGUGCGGAGUCCUUUCCCAAUGAUGUCACCCGACUAAGGAUACAUCCGCCUGUGUGGAUGCUGGAGCAUAUCCGUUGGUUUCCCCGUUAGGAUCACAAGUCCAAUACGGGUGCCAAGCACGACAAUUCCACUCGUCAUUGGGGUAAAUCCUCUGCAGACGACUUUGUUGCAACUGGGUAUUGUAAGUGGUAGAGUGGCCUUGCUGCUACGAUCCACUGAGAUUCAUCCCGUGUUGCUAUAAGAUUUGU
rnacentral:ncRNA from 1 species